GUGGGUAGUUUGACUGGGGCGGUCUCCUCCUAAAGAGUAACGGAGGAGCACGAAGGUUGGCUAAUCCUGGUCGGACAUCAGGAGGUUAGUGCAAUGGCAUAAGCCAGCUUGACUGCGAGCGUGACGGCGCGAGCAGGUGCGAAAGCAGGUCAUAGUGAUCCGGUGGUUCUGAAUGGAAGGGCCAUCGCUCAACGGAUAAAAGGUACUCCGGGGAUAACAGGCUGAUACCGCCCAAGAGUUCAUAUCGACGGCGGUGUUUGGCACCUCGAUGUCGGCUCAUCACAUCCUGGGGCUGAAGUAGGUCCCAAGGGUAUGGCUGUUCGCCAUUUAAAGUGGUACGCGAGCUGGGUUUAGAACGUCGUGAGACAGUUCGGUCCCUAUCUGCCGUGGGCGCUGGAGAACUGAGGGGGGCUGCUCCUAGUACGAGAGGACCGGAGUGGACGCAUCACUGGUGUUCGGGUUGUCAUGCCA
rnacentral:rRNA from 1 species